GUUUCUACAAGUGUCAACAUGCAGGAAAGACGUCACAACAGAGCUGGAUGUCAGUUACAGCCGCUGUGUCCAGACCUGAAAACUCUUCAUUUCCUCUGCUGCUGAUCGUUGGACCAGUUGCUGGAAUUGUGUUUAUUUUACUGAUCUUACUUUGUUGGUACAGAAGGUCUAAAGGUUUUUCUACAGAGCAGACGGUCAACCAGUGUGAAAAUCAGCAGCAAGUUUACUCCUCUC